UUACUAUUUUUAUGCAUUUUUUUGAUUAGUUUUUUUUCCUCUUUGUAUUUCUUCCUGUUAAUGGUGAAUAAACUGAAAGUUGAUUUUUUGAAAUUUUGAUAUUGCAGAUUUAAAAUGCUCGAUUUGCCUAGAGUUCAGGUGGCAAGGAAGCUUUGAUUUUGAUGCCCAGAGUUAGAAAGUCUAAUUAUACCUUUGUAGAGAUACUGCUCUUCGUUUCCUGUUGCAAUACUUACCAGAAUAUGCAAAUCCAAGGUUAUUCUUCUGUGCUCAACAGAGGUUGUGCUGCAGCGAAGUUUAGCCCUUUUAUGUUACGGGAUUUGCUUGCCUGAAGUGUAGUGAAUUUGGGCAAUCCCUGAUAAGUCACCAAAGACUGAUGCAAUGAACAUGCAAUCACUCUGCCAAACUGCCAGAGAAUAGUUAAUCAUGAUUGCUGAGGUUAGUUUCCACCAUGAAAUGUGAAUGGAAUGCCAAAAAGUUAAUGACUUUUGUUCUUUUUUAUAUAUUAUGGACCAAUCGCAAGAUUAAAAUUACAGUCAGUUUUCUUUGUUGUGGUUGCUUG